rnacentral:rRNA from 1 species
CAGCCGCCGCGGGAAUACAUAGGUGGCAAGCGUUGUCCGGAAUUAUUGGGCGUAAAGGGCUCGCAGGCGGUUUCUUAAGUCUGAUGUGAAAGCCCCCGGCUCAACCGGGGAGGGUCAUUGGAAACUGGGAAACUUGAGUGCAGAAGAGGAGAGUGGAAUUCCACGUGUAGCGGUGAAAUGCGUAGAGAUGUGGAGGAACACCAGUGGCGAAGGCGACUCUCUGGUCUGUAACUGACGCUGAGGCUCGAAAGCGUGGGGAGCGAACAGGAUUAGAUACCCCAGUAGUCCCUGUCUCUUAUAC